UACGUAGGGUGCAAGCGUUGUCCGGAAUUAUUGGGCGUAAAGCGCGCGUAGGCGGCGCGGUAUGUCGUGCGUGAAAUCUCCCGGCUUAACUGGGAGGGGCCGUGCGAAACUGCCGGGCUUGAGGUCGGAAGGGGAAAGUGGAAUUCCGGGUGUAGUGGUGGAAUACGUAGAUAUCCGGAGGAACACCAGCGGCGAAGGCGGCUUUCUGGU
rnacentral:rRNA from 1 species